CUUCCUGUGUGAGGCAGGGUCGUACUCUGCGGAUGUUGUAGAGCAUGAACCUACAGGAACGGGCCACCGCCUUGAUGUUAUUUGAGAACGACAGGGUGUUGUCCAGGAUCACGCCAAGGUUCUUAGCGCUCUGGGACGAGGACACAAUGGAGUUGUCAACCGUGAUGGCGAGAUCAUGGAACGGGCAGUCCUUCCCCGGGAGGAAGAGCAGCUCCGUCUUGCCGAGGUUCAGCUUGAGGUGAUGAUCCGUCAUCCACACUGAUAUGUCUGCCAGACAUGCAGAGAUGCGAUUCGCCACCUGGUCGUCAGAAGGGGGAAAGGAGAAGAUUAAUUGUGUGUAGUCAAUUCGUCGUCAACAAUAAACAAUCCCACACAAAGACAUGGGGGGGAACAGAGGGUUAAAUACACAACAAGUAAAUGAGGGAAUUGAAACCAGGUGUGAGGUAAAACGACAAAACAAAUGGAAAAUGAAAAGUGGUUCGACGAUGGCUAGAAGACCGGCGACGCCGAGCGCCGCCCGAACAAGGAGAGGACCUGACUUCGGCGGAAGUCGUGACAUGGGGACAAUGAUCAUACUUUUUGGAGAAAUGUCCUGUGGUCUGAUAGAACAAAAAUAGAAUUGUUUGGCCAUAAUGACCAUCGUCAUGUUUGGAGGAAAAAGGGGGAGGUUUGCAAGCCGAAGAACAACAUCCCAACCGUGAAGCACGGGGGUGGCAGCAUCAUGUUGUGGGUGUCCUUUGCUGCAGGAGGGACUGGUGCACUUCACAAAAUAGAUUGCAUCAUCUCAAGACAUCGGUAAGGAAGUUGAAGCUUGGUUGCAAAUGGGUCUUCCAAAUGGACAAUGAACCCAAGCAUACUUCCAGUUUUGGCAAAAUGGCUUAAGGACAACAUAGUCAAGGUAUUGGAGUGGCCAUCACAAAGCCCUGACUUCAUUCCUAUAGAACAUUUGUGGACAGAACUGAAAAAGCAAGGAGGCCUACAAACGUGACUCAGUUACACCAGCUCUGUCAGGAGGAAUGGGCCAAGAGGGAGGGGUAAUGUCACGUCCGCUCCUGCUUUUCCCUUUCCCUGGCACUUGAGGGCGCCAGAUUACCCUGCAUCACACGCUCCUGCCAUCCCUCGUCACUCGCAUCAGCGUUAUUGGACUCACCUGGACUCACUUAUCACAUGUUAAUUUCCUCCCCUAUAUUUGUCUGCUCCCUUGCUCUGUUCCCUGCUGAUGCAGGGAAAUGAUACUAGAUUACUUUAGAAAAAAAAAUUGGUGUUGACUGAUCAGAUCAAAUGAUGACAUAAAGAGCCGUUGUGUUGAAACUCCGUGCGAUGUUUAACAGUGAGAAUCGCAGAAUGACUAAAUGACUGAGAGUUUGACUGUGUGAUAUUAGAUUGCUUCUUGUGUAAAUAUUUUCUGUCUGGAUUUUAAUGAUUUGUAUAAAUGAUUUGCAUUGUAUUGUUUUUGUCUUUUGAAUUUGUUUCUGGCGCUAUUCCUGUCUCGUCUCUGUCCAUUAUAAUGAAAUGUUUUACUCCCCAUACCUGCUUCGUCUCUCCAGCGUCAUUCCGCGUGACAAAAAGCUGAAGCAAAUCAUUCUCUCUACUAUUAUUCUGACAUUUCACAUUCUUAAAAUAGUGGUGAUCCUAACUGACCUAAAACAGGGAAUUUUUACUAGGAUUAAAUGUCAGGAAUUGUGAAAAGCUGAGUUUAAAUGUAUUUGGCUAAAGUGUAUGUGAACUUCCCACUUCAACUGUAUGUCUUACACUGUACUGGUUGUCUAUGGCAUUCAGCAAGGCACAGUGUUUGUACCUCUAUACUUCUGCAUAUCAUUAGUCAGAGCAUACUUGGAUUUUACUAUAAUGUCAUAAAACUGUUGUAUUUUACAAUCCAGUUAACCUUCUCUGAUGAUGCAUUUGAUAAUUAAUUUUAUAUAAUUGUAUAUACACUAAAAUAUAAACACAAAUAUAAACACAACAUCAAGUCAACUCAAACUUUAUUUGUCACAUGCACCGAAUACAACAUGAAAUACUUACUAUGGUCAGGGGUACUGCCCUGACCAUAGAGAGCUGUUUAUUCUCUGUUGGUUGGGGAGUGAUAGUGACUAGGGUGGAUCAUCUAGGUGAUUCAUGGUUUAUGUUGGCCUGGUAUGGUUCCCAAUCAGAGACAGCUGUUUAUCGUUGUCUCUGAUUGGGGAUCAUAUUUAGGCAGCCAUUUCCUCAUUGUGCUUGUGGGAUCAUGUCUACAGAUAGUUGCCUGUGUGCACACCAGUAGCAUCACGUUUCAUUUUUGCUUGUUUGCUUGUUUGCUUGUUUGCUUGUUUGCUUGCUUGCUUUUGUUUGUUUGUUUGGUUUGUUUGGUGAGUUUCUAUUAAUUAAAAUAUGUGGAACUCUACGCAAGCUGCGCCUUGGUCCAAUCAUUAUGACGAUUGUGACAAUCAAUAAAAUGCAGUUGUGUUUGUUGUCCGUCGCUUCUGCCUGCCCAAACCAUAACCCCCCCCCUGCCACCAUGGGGCACUGUUCACAACGUUAACAUCUUCAAACCUAUGGCCCACACGAUGCCAUACACAACCUGAGGUUGUGAGGCCUGUUGGAUGUACGGCCAAAUUCUCUAAAACAACGUUGGAGGCAGCUUAAGGUAGAGAAAUUCACAUUAAAUUCUCUGGCAACAACUCUGGUGGACAUUCCUGCAGUCAGCAUGCCAAUUGCACGCUCCCUCAAAACUUGAGACAUCUGUGGCAUUUUGUUGCGUGACAGAACAGCAUAUUUUAGAAUUAUUAUUGUCCCCAGCACAAGGUGCACCUGUGUAAUGAUCAUGCUGUUCUUGGCAACGGGGGAAAUGUUCACUAACCGGGAUAUAAACUAAUUUUUGAAAGCCUUGUGUGUCACGCCCUGAUCUGUUUCACCUGUCUUUGUGAUUGUCUCCACCUUCCUCCAGGUGUCGCCCAUCUUCCCCAUUAUCCACUGUGUAUUUAUACCUGUGUUCUCUGUUUGUCUGUUGCCAGUUAAUUUUGUUCCUCAAACCUACCAGCAUUUUUCCUCUUGCUCCUCUAUUGUCUAUAUUCCUGUUUUCCCGGUUUUGUCCUUUUUGCCUGCCUGCCGUCCUGUACCUUCGCCCUCUUCUCUGGAUUACCGACCUCUGCCUGCCCUGACCCUGAGCCUGCCUGCCGUCCUGUACCUUCGCCCUCUUCUCUGGAUUACCGACCUCUGCCUGCCCUGACCCUGAGCCUGCCUGCCGUCCUGUACCUUCGCCCUCUUCUCUGGAUUACCGACCUCUGCCUGCCCUGACCCUGAGCCUGCCUGCCGUCCUGUACCUUCGCCCUCUUCUCUGGAUUACCGACCUCUGCCUGCCCUGACCUUAAACCUGCCUGCCGUCCGGUACUUUUGCCCCACUAGUCUGGAUUACUGACCUCUGUCUGACCUGACCCUGCCUGCCAUCCUGUACCUUUGCCUGCCUGUGUUCUAAUUAAUAAACUUUUGUUACAUCGACAUUGCCUGCACCUGGGUCUUACCUUCAAAUGUGAUAUUGUGUGCACAUGGAACAUUUCUGGAAUCUAUUCAGCUCAUGAAACAUGGGACCAACACUUUGCAAGUUGCUUUUAUAUUUUUGUACAGUGUAAAUAUAUAUAUAAAAAACUGGGAACAGAUUCAUUUACAGAUUGGUAAUAGCAAAAAUGUAUACAUAAUGAUACUAAAUGGAUGACAAACCCAAGUCUAUGUUAAUGUUCAUCUGUUGUUGAAUGUGUUGCUGUAGAAAAGGUGUGAACCCACAAACCAAAUACUAAAACUAUCAAAUGUUUCUCAAAGGUUUUAUAGUCAUUAUUACAGGUCUAGAACAUGGUCUCAGCAAUGAUGUCAGUUUAAGGUUUCAGUGAAGAUUUUAAGACAUGGAUUUCCAAAACUUGUGUUUCUCAAUUUUCUCUCUUAUUCCAUUGUAACAUCUUCAGGAUUAAUGGUUUAAAUUCAGCUGAUGUUAUCUCAGUGGUGCCCUCAAAAUGGUACGCAGCUUGCUGUUGGUCAGAGGUGCUACAACACCAAGGUUCAGCUCAGGGUCCGUUGCUGUCCCAGUCUUAUAUUGCUUAAUGAUAAUAUCUGCUUAUCUGAAGACCUCCAAUUCAACGACUGUCACAGUUAGUCCUGGGGGCACCGUUUUUCUGGACUACAAUGUAAAACACCAUGAAGAAACCAUUUGGUACAGACAGCGAUGCGACAAGGUGCCCUUCCACAUAAUGUCUACUACCACAAAGACUGGAGGAGGGAAUAUUCAACAUAAAGGUUCUGGAGGUUUUUCUACUAAACAUAUCCAAAGCAACAAGUCCAUCAGUCUGAUCAUCAACAACAUCACUGAAUCUGUUUUAGGACUCUACUAUUGUACUUCUAAUGGAAAGGUUUAGUCUGGCUGCAUCCUUAGCUAUACUGGUGAUGGUAUGUACUAAAUAGCGUAAUUGAACUUUCUUGCUAUUUCUCUGAAUAGAUUGAUGAGUAAAGUCUAUCAAUGGAAAUGUAUAUUUCCUUGAAACAGAUCAGACCAGUGGGUCAAAGACAUCGUCUCAUUCUCAGUCUACUGAUGCUCUGUCUUCAGCAACUCCGUCCUCUGAUCAGUGCUGGAUGCUGGUGGCCAUCUUGUCUCCUUUCUGUGUCAUCUUUGCUAUGGCUGCUCUGCUCUCCUCUGUCGGUGCCUGGUGAAUCUAUAAAAGAAAAGGUCAAGCUUUUUUACUAAAAGGGAUUUGUUAUUGGCAUGCAAGUGUUGUUCUGUGUUUAUUUGGAAAUAUUGGAGGGUUUACCACUGUUUAUUCAUGAUUGAUUGAUAGUUCAGAAUAUUUGAUAUGAUCAAAUUAAAUAUGUAUUUGCAUAUUUACCAAUUAAAUACAUUUUGUAAUUCUCUUCAACUACUUUGCUCCAUGUUUAUGCAAAAGAUCUCUGAUGAAAUAACAUCUAAUUAGCAUAAUAAAUACAUCCUCAUACAAAUCCAUCAGUUUAAGAUAGAGAUAUUUUUGCAUUAGACGCGUCUCAAUCCGCCUAUGUCGCAAUUCCGCAUCUGCAGUGAAAGGUGACAGAGCUAGAGCGGUGUUUGUCAGACCAUGAGACAUCCCGAAAAUCGGUGUUCUCACAAAAUCGUAUGCAGCCUCUGAAUGGUUUGGCCUCUCACGAACACAACGUUAUUAACCGUUUUGCUUUACGACCCCCACAAGCGUCUUGGGGCUCAUCUGAAGUCGGUACAGCCAAUUUGCCAACUUCUGUCUGUAGUGUCCAAACAGUUUGGGCCACACACUAAUAUGACCCCUCUGUGGAAAGGUGAGAUUCUCAUGACCAUGUACAUGUUCUGCUCUAGGACACCUACAUGGCUCACAGGACUUGUCUGAAGGUCCCCCGGCACCAGUUUAAAAAAUGAAUGGAAGUAUAUUUGGAGACUGGUUUAGUGCCAAAAAUAAGGGGUUAAAUACAUUUUUUAAAAUGUAUUUCCUUUCUUUCAGAUACAGGACAGACACCUCAGAACAAACUUGCUUUAGAUUUUUUGUAGUAAAUAUGUUAUUCGAUGCAUUUGCAUGGGCUGAUAACAGUAUGGAAAAAAAUUCGGAAUAUUUUUUUUCCUUUUUUGGGGGGGAUACUUCAAGGGGUCUUAAAAUUCAUAAUCAAAUAGCAAAAUUAUCCUUCCUAUGACCUUAUUAAAACAAUUCUAUUUAGCUUAGUGGAAAUCCCCCCCCCCCCUGCGCUAUUUGAUGCUCUGUGAGAGAGGUUGGCAUGCUAAUGCUAUUUUGGUUGAGGUUGGGAUUUCAGGUCCUAUAAUAUUUUGAAUAUCUUUUUAUUUAUGACAACAGUGGUUUAUCUUCAAUGUGUUAUAUUCUCUUCCGGUGUAAUUUCCUACUUGACACAGUUUUUUUCCCUUACAGACAGAGGAUGAAGGACUGACCUACAGUACAUUACACUUCUCUAACAAAGGUCAAAGAGGCAAAGGUAGGUAUCCGAUGCAGCACAUUUUAAGGGUAGAGCGAUGUUUGGUCUGACUCAGAAGGUGCCAACAGUUUUACCACAAGAAGUAAAUAUAAAAGUACUAUUCUAAUAUUAAAAUAAGCAAACGAGGCAGAUCUGUUGAUAAUAAACUAAUAUUGAGGUGUCAUGGGGGCUCGUUCCUUAAAUGUGUUGCAACAUACUGUUGUUGGGAAAAUGGUGGAAUGGUAAGUCACAUGUGUUAGUUACAGUGCUUGGCAAUAAAACCCUGUUUGAAUUCA